rnacentral:rRNA from 1 species
AUAAAGCGGGUGAAAAGCCCGCUCGCCGGAAGACCAAGGGUUCCUGUCCAACGUUAAUCGGGGCAGGGUGAGUCGACCCCUAAGGCGAGGCCGAAAGGCGUAGUCGAUGGGAAACAGGUUAAUAUUCCUGUACUUGGUGUUACUGCGAAGGGGGGACGGAGAAGGCUAUGUUGGCCGGGCGACGGUUGUCCCGGUUUAAGCGUGUAGGCUGGUUUUCCAGGCAAAUCCGGAAAAUCAAGGCUGAGGCGUGAUGACGAGGCACUACGGUGCUGAAGCAACAAAUGCCCUGCUUCCAGGAAAAGCCUCUAAGCAUCAGGUAACAUCAAAUCGUACCCCAAACCGACACAGGUGGUCAGGUAGAGAAUACCAAGGCGCUUGAGAGAACUCGGGUGAAGGAACUAGGCAAAAUGGUGCCGUAACUUCGGGAGAAGG